GGAGGAGUCGGAUAGCGGUUCAUUCCACAUCCUUGGAAAGGAUGCGAGCGCAAGCUCACGCAGGUUCGAAUCCUGUCUCCUCCG
rnacentral:tRNA from 1 species